rnacentral:sRNA from 1 species
CCCACGGCUGACGCCGUUGGCUUUAUUCUGUCGCCCCUACGGGGCU